UNGCUGUUCACAAAGACAUCUUCGAUGGC
rnacentral:piRNA from 1 species